GACGAACGCUGGCGGCGUGCUUAACACAUGCAAGUCGAGCGGAAAGGCCCUUCGGGGUACUCGAGCGGCGAACGGGUGAGUAACGCGUGAGUAAUCUGCCCUUGGCUUUGGGAUAACUACCGGAAACGGUGGCUAAUACCGGAUACGACAACCGUCUGCAUGGGCUGGUUGUGGAAAGUUUUUUCGGCCAGGGAUGUGCUCGCGGCCUAUCAGCUUGUUGGUGGGGUAAUGGCCUACCAAGGCUUCGACGGGUAGCCGGCCUGAGAGGGUGACCGGCCACACUGGGACUGAGACACGGCCCAGACUCCUACGGGAGGCAGCAGUGGGGAAUAUUGGACAAUGGGCGGAAGCCUGAUCCAGCAACGCCGCGUGAGGGAUGACGGCCUUCGGGUUGUAAACCUCUUUCAGUACCGACGAAGCGCCGAUGAUGGUGGUGACGGUAGGUACAGAAGAAGCACCGGCCAACUACGUG
rnacentral:rRNA from 1 species